UCCGUAGGUGAACCUGCGGAAGGAUCAUUAUUGAAUUCGGCCUUUUGGCCUUAUACACAUAAUAUACACUGUGAACCGUGGCUUCGGCCCAAACUUGAAGUCUUGAAUGUAAUAUAUCAUAACAAAAUACAACUUUUAACAACGGAUCUCUUGGCUCUCGCAUCGAUGAAGAACGCAGCGAAAUGCGAUAAGUAAUGUGAAUUGCAGAAUUCAGUGAAUCAUCGAAUCUUUGAACGCACCUUGCGCCCUCUGGUAUUCCGGAGGGCAUGCCUGUUUGAGUGUCAUGAACACCUCACCCCCUCGGGUUUCCGAUCGGGUGGAUUUGGGUGCUGCCAGUUAUAUGGCUCGCCUUAAAAGCAUUAGCGGUUGUUGACGUAAUAAGUUUCGUCUUGUCGACCGCUCCUAAUCUCCUCCGGGAUGUCUCUAGGGACACUUCAUGAUCUGACCUCAAAUCAGGUAGGACUACCCGCUGAACUUAAGCAUAUCAAUAAGCGGAGGA
rnacentral:misc_RNA from 1 species